rnacentral:pre_miRNA from 1 species
CAUCCUGCACAGGUGGGGAUCAGUAGCAAUGCUGUGUACCUAGAGGUAUUGCACUUGUCCCGGCCUGUGUGGGAACA